GAGCCACGGAGUAACCUUAAUCAGGACAGGAAUCUACCACACAAAGAAAAAUGAGAAGCUAUAGAUUCCUUCCAGGUUAAUAUGGUUCGAUCAAGGAAGACCCCCCUGAGAGGUCUCCAGAUGAUCCAACAUCCAGUACAGCUUCAAAGCAACUGAUUCAGAGAAUACAAUCUCACAGACUACUCCAGGCAGGACUUGACCAUAAUCCUAAAAUUUUCUUUGUGUCCCCCUAAGACUACCCCAAUCAGGAGGAAGUAGCCAAGAAAACUACACCCACAUUCCCAAAAAAUGGAUUAUGGAUGUUUGUCUUUGUUUAGGGGUUAAUUAAAAACUGUUAUUGGUCACAGUCAAUGUCUUUCUAAAAGAAAAAAAAGGGAUAUAGAUAUGAUAGGAUGAAAGGGUAGAUUAUUGAAUCUACUUUUAAAGAGCAACAACUUGUUUGAAAUGUUUUACAUUGCUAUGGAUUUUAGUGUAUUGAUAAAAAUUUAAAGUUAAUUUUGUUAUAUUAUAUAUACAUUCUUGUUUAAGGUAUUAUGUUCAUGCAACUCAUUUAAAAUUGUAAAAUAUAAUUAAAAAUACAGAAUAAUUAGUUAUUUAUGAUAAUCAAAUUUAUAGUCAUGUUAGUUUUUUAGAUAUACAAAGAUAUAUUUCAAUUAGGUAAUUUUCACACACUUCAAAUACCUACAGAAUAUGGCAUUUAAAAUGUUUUAAAAACUUUGACUUUCUGGACAGUGAGACAUGUCUGCUCCUGGCAGCACCGAUUUAUUUCAAAGAGGAAGAUAGGCAUCAAAGCCACUCCAUAUGGAGUUUAUCUUCUUGGCAAAACUGGCCAUUUGGGCAAGAAACUGCUCAUGCCUGGACUGAUUAAUAAUAUGUUGUAUAAACUGGACAUAUAGAACCCAUAGGAAAAUGACCACUGAUUUUUGCCAAAACAAGGCAAAACAGUCCUUCAGGUUCCUGCUUCACAGAAGAGACUGCCAGACAUUCUACAGGACACAGGGAAAAGUGACUCCAGGCUUAUAGGCUGAAGAUGGAUGCCCCAACAUUGCAGGGGAACUUUGGGUGACUGUCCAGGCAGCCAGCUGUCUCUGUCAUUUCUAGAAUUAUUGAAGUUGCUUGCAAUGCACUUCCUGUUUACUUAGGUAAUAUUAUAUCCUUCUGAGGACUUUGAUGGAGUUGAAGACUAGAUAGUUAUAAUUAUAGCUUUUCUUGGUCAUGAUAAAAGAUAAAUUAGAUAUAAAACUUUAGACUCACAAAAACAGGAUAGAUGGUAGAAUAUUUUCUAAUUUUGUCAAUGAUAAAUAGACUAUAUAUUGUAACUGUAAUUCUUGCUUUAUAACUGUUUUGUUAUAUGUAAUUUUACUAUAUAAAAGUUAAAACCUUCCUUUUUGAUUAGACAGAAAAGGGAAAUUGCUGUGGGAUGUCUUUCUGUAUGCUGUGAAUAUGUGUUGCUAUGAUUGGUUGAUAAAUAAAGCUGCAUUGGCCUAUGGCAGGGCAGGAUGGAGCCAGGCAGAAAAAUCCAAGAGAGAUAGGAGGAAGAGAAAGAAGAGGCAGAGAGAUGCCAUACCACCGUCCAGGUAGCAGCAUGUAAUGGCAUACAGGUAAAGCCAGGGAACAUGUGGCAACAUAUAGAUAAAUAGAAAUGGGCUAAGUUUAGUUAUAAGAGCUAGCUAGCAAGAAAAUUGAGCCAUAGGCCAUGGCCAUGCAAUUCGUAAUUGA